UUGAAAACUAAAAAUAAAUUAAUUAAUUUUUAAAAAAUAAAGGGAGGAGUUUAGUUUAUGGAAAAAAAGUCAUUGAAUUGGUUUGUCUCACUGGGAGGGGUAGAGGAAGACCAUGUAUACAUAUUUAAAAACAAAUGCCAAGAAGUGAUUGAAGUAUAACUGACUGAAUUAGUGUCUUAAUAGUUUCCUGUUUUUAAAAUUAUCUCCUUUUCUCAAAGAGUCUUACUUGCCAUGGUAACUAGCCUUCUAAUGGUUGUUAUUUUCAGUUUAGCACCACAAACUUAUCAUAAGCUAUUAUUAUUCCUCAAAGAGUGGUAGUUUUUAAAUGAGCUCUGAAAGCAUCAUCUCAUCCAUAUGCUAAGCAAUAUCUUCUCCCUAUAGAUGUUUUCUGCCCUUUCUCUGAGAAUGUGUCUACUCCCUUGGUUUACUGACAUGGUCAUCCCAUCCUGGUUCUUAAACUGUUAUUCUUUCAUAUGGAUACCAUGUGGGUUGAUGAUAACCUAUCUCCUCUAUCAACCCCUUCUGAUUUUAGGAGUGUUCGUGGGACAUGAAGAAUUACUUGUUCCCUGAUGGGUCUUUUCAGAUUCAACACAAAAAAAGAAGGGAACAACUGAUAACAUUAAAUGAUGGCUACAUUUACCAGACUCUACCUUAGAUGCAUUUGCAGGGAGCUCACUACUGUUAUUGAAUUAAGAAUUCUCUUUCAUUUCUCUUCACAGAUGUAGAAAAACCCCACUUUAUAAUGUGGGUUUUUCUACUCCACUGUAUUGAUACCAGAUUAAGCAGCCAGACUUUUGUGAGGGAAUUCUGUAGGGAGUCUGGCCACGGUUAGGAGAAAACUCUGAUUUUCACAGCUUUGUCAGAGGCUGCUACCUUAUACCUCCAUCUGUGAGAACCAGGAAAAUGGCUUUUUCAGAGGCGCCUUUUAGACAGAGUAUGAUUCCAACUACAAUCAUUUUACUUUGUAAACAUUUUCAUCUUUUAUUAUCUGCUGACAGAAUUUUUAAAAAAAAACCUUAACUAGUGACAGGAGUCUUGAGUUAAAACAUCUAAUCACCCAAAAUGUCCAAGGUCAAAGAGAUUAAUUAGAAACACAGCUAUAUUGGGUAACCAUUUAGUAGCUAGGCUACCUACCUGUUAACUUAGUAAAAGACUGUGUUGAAUAGAUUCGUUUGCUUUGGUGGGAUUUAGGUCUCUUGACAGGUAGCUAAAAAAUAAACAGAAACUUUUUUUUCCCCUAAUGUGAUAGGCACUGUGCUAAGCACAGGGACAUCUGUCUACUUGCCAGAUUGGUAAGCCACCAUUGCAUGGCUCUAGCCGACUGUCUAUGCUACCAGAAAGAAGAGUGGAUCAGACUGUCGAUAAAUGUAUUUGUUGCAUUAUGUAUGGAAUGUCCUCAGUUAUACACAAGAAAAUAAAUAAUUGCUGCUAGCUCAUAUUGCUGGAUCAAUCAAUUAACAAAUAUUGAUUAAAGUCCUACUAUGUGCCUGGCACUGGGGGGGUGGGGGGAAGGGUGCGAGUGGGGAAGUAGAACAGGAAUUCGACCAAAAUGAAACCACCUUUGCCCUCAACGACCUUAUAAUCUAGUAAGAGGGAAAACAUGUACAUAUACAGGGUGCUGAUAGUCUUAGUACUGAGACUUUUGGGAUGCCUUGUAUAAGUCACUAUGAAAUAAGUACAAAAUCAUUUUGAUAGGAAGGCACUCUGGAUGUAUUUUUGGAAGCUGUGUCACCAGCAAAAGAAAAGGCCAGGGUGAAAAAAAAUCUGCUUCAUCCUUGAAGCACUAAAUCCCUCACCACUGAGCUCUGCUAAGGAAAAUGCAGCAUGGUGAUUUAUGUCCUUUGUGGGGCUGUGUGUAUCUUUUUAUGCUUUCCCAUUCAUAGUUCACAACUGGGCCAUUGCCUUAACUCCUCAGAUAUUCUGGCCAUUCCCAAUAGAACUUGGUGCUUUUCAGGCUUCUAGGUUUAGGCUGUCAUGUGAUUUCUCUUAUUCACCAGCCAGGCCUCUUGCACCCAUGGGGUAGAACACCCAAAAGAGCUGCAAGCUAGGGAACUUCUCCUUCAUGCCCUACUUAGAGCAGUUUUGUUUUUUGCUUUCUUUUUUCUGUCUCUAUCUCUCUCUCUCCUCUCCUAGCCUUUCUACCAGGUUGAUGUUCAAGUUGUCACCCUUGGCUAGACUAUAAACUCUAGGUGGGCAAGGACUGAUUCUUCUUAUCUUUGUAUCCCCAGUGCCCACCACUUAAUUGCUUGCUGAUUGAUUGCCCAACAGAGAAGAAUGGUUAAUUGAAUUGAGUGAACAGCUGAAAUUUGGUUGCCUCAGCAUUUUGGGGGGAAAAAAUAGUGGCGGCACAUCAUUUAUCCAAGCUCUUUGGAAAUGAAAAGACGUAGAGAAAUAAGUAGCCUAAAUAUCCUUAGCACCCACCCCCCAAAUAAAGCCAGUAUACCCAUUCUUUUGAAGGUGGGAAAAACCAAACCAUGAGUUCUGCCAAUUAAGGUAUAUAAUGGUUUCAAUUUGAGCAGCAUGACACUGAUCUACAUCUCAAAAUAUUUUAUAUUAUUCUUUAAAUUCUUGCAAACAUUUUACAUAGUUAUGUCUAAAACAAAUGCAUCAUUUGCAUUGGCUUGCUGAGGGAGGCUUUUAGUUAAGGCUCAGGGUUUCAGGGGAGGUAAAUGGGGUUAUAGGAACUGAGGUUUCCUUUCAAAAAGCUUUUAAAGUGUACUUUCCCCCCCUACACCUGUGUUGUUGUUUUUAACCCAGGGAAAUACUGGGGUUUUUUGCAAUUCAGCUGCAUCAGCCACCACAGGAAGGAGAAUUAGAAUUGAAAAUAGUGAAGAGCUAUCAUAAUGCUGGGGCUUUACCAACAAGAAGAAUGUGGCUUUAUUUCAUACAAAACAACUAAAAAUGCAGGAAAAGCUCUGUAGAAGCUAGAAAUGUCUGGACCUGUGAUUUCAUUGGUGUCAACAAGGCCCAGAGGAAAUUUUCCCCACCAAUGAAGAUUUGCGAUGUUUAGUCUUUUAAGUGUUGCCAAGAAGCACAGAAACUCACAAAGUCAGUAGUGGGUUAGAGGUUGAAUUAGAAUCCAGGUCUUCCUGCUCAGCUUUUUUCUCCCCUACCCAAAGGGUGAUAAUACCAAUUUGUGGAAUAUGUCCAAACGUAGUUGAAGGAUUUUUACUGAAUUUAUCCCAUAUCACAUCUUGAGACACAGUUAAUUAGUACCAUAGCUUUGGCAAUCCUCUUUGUAAAUCAGGGCAAGAGGUUCAUGUCCAAUGUUCAUCUGUUGAGAAUAGGCAUGUUUGAGCAUUUAUGUCACAGCUGACUUUCCAAGAGCUCUUCGGACUGAAAUCUAUCACACAGCUCUAGAACACAAGAUGUGGGCCUCACCAGAGGGGAUUUUCAAAAAGAAAUGGUUCAGU